CUUAUGUAUCACUUUUUCCAGAUGGCGCUGUCAGCCCUACUGCCCCUGCAGGAGCGGACACCUUAGCCACGACAGUCCGGGCUGUGCGGAGAUGAUGCCGUCAGCCCUGCUGUCCUCCUGAAGCUGAAGCCUGAGCCAGGACCGUUUGGGCUAUACAAAGAUGAUGCUGUCAGCCCUGCUGCCUCUGCAGGACGGACGCCUUAGCCAGGACAGUCUGGGCUGUGCGGAGGUACACCUUCACUGCGUGGGCGGAAAUAAAAGCUGUUUAGCCUUCAAACGGGGAGAAGUCUGAAGUGGAAAGCAGACUCUUGCAGGUACCAGAGAGGCACACAGUUGCCAAAGCAUAGGAGUCCUAGGGUUACCGAAAGGGAUGCCAUGGAAAUCCUAAGGUCAUGCCUGACUCCACAGUUCUACAAGCUUGUGAACAGUCAGGUCCUGCUCCAUGGCCGCAAAAUGAAUUGUGGCCAGGUGGCCACAGGAAAUUAGCGUGUCCUGAGCACAUUCUUUGAUAGCCCGGUGGCAUACAGGCGCCUUUCCAAAGUGCUUGCUUUGCCAACCUCAAGGUCUCUUUGGAAGUGGCUUUCUGAAGUGCCGCUGACAACUGGAAUUAUUCGUAAAGUAAUUGAUGUACUUAAAUAAGCAACCACUGAUUGGCCGUUACUGGAUCGGGUCUGUGUCAUCACGUUUGAUGAAAUGUCUCUGCGACAAAACUUGCUGUGUGACACCAAAAACGACAUUGUCAUGGGCUUUUCAGACAAUGGCACUGAAAGGACACCCAAGUGUGGCAAACCAAGCCUUCGUAGUCCUCCUUUCUGGAAUUUCUAAACCAUGGGUCCAGCCUUCGGUGCUUGCAGUGGCACAAACCAGACUGUAUGCUCCUGACAUCAGGAGGCUGCUAUUUGCCUUAAUUGAACAGCUAAGCACAAUUCAGCUGUUCGUUAAGGCAGUGGCGUGCUAUCAGGGGACAAGUAAUGUCACACUUUCAGAGCAGUUAAACGUAACUCCAUAUGAACCAUUCUUCGAAGUGGGUGGUCACAAAGUUCAUUUUCUGUUUGACUCUCCACACCUUAUGAAGUGCACCAGAAAUAACCUGCGUGCCCCCCAAAACUUCUCAUUGACACACACUAUUGAAUGGAAGCACAUUGUGGAGUUAUACAAGAGCUCUGAUCCAAUUAGAAUGAAAUUGGUGAGAAAACUGACAGAUGACCAUAUCUACAAGAGGCCUUUCAACAGUUUGAAGGUAAAGUUUGCCGCUCGGGCCCUAAGCAAGUCGGUUCGGUGUUGGUGGCAUUGACAGCCAUGAUUGCUCUGGGGAAAAUGGAUGGGACUGUGAAGUCUACAGCAGAAUUUAUUGAUAGAAUUGACAAGCUAUGUGACUGUCUCAACAGCAAAAGCAUCACUGCCAGGCCUGGCACGAUGGACUGUGCCAUCAGUGCCGACUCUGGUCAUGUGGAGUUUUUGCAAGAGGAAGUCAAAUGGAUCAAAUGCUGGAAGCUUGACAGCCCUAGACAGCCUCGCACAAUUCGUGGCUGGCUUGUCCCCAUCCAGGCUGUCCUCUUGCUGUGGAAAGACCUCUGCCAAAAUUUUGACUUCACUUUUCUCCUGGCACGCCACCUGCAGCAGGACCCUCUUGAGAAUCUUUUCGCCACUUUGAGAAGGAAUCUUGGCUGUAAUGAAAAUUCAAAUGUGUUUCAGUUCAUUCCUGCUCUGAAACAUACUUCUUUUGGGAAGCUAAGCAACCUGAUGUCUCGUGGGAACUGUGAAAUCGGAGACACCCAUUUAUUGGCCUAAGUAAUGGAUGGUGCUGCUGCUGCACCACCGCUCGUUGCUGAAGAGGCAGAGGUGCCAAGCUCCUGCAAGUGGUGAUAUUCUAGGUGCCGAAGAGCAGAAUGCACUGUACUGCUUUAUGGCUCACCUCGUGCAGCAAUUUCUUAAACGUCCUGAGGAGUGUGUUUGCAGCCGUUUUUUAGGCUUGGGGAGGAGGCAUUAGUAGGUUCCCAUCAGUUUAUGGCCAUGCUUCAGGCUAAUGGUAAGCCAGGAGGACUCUUUGCCGGCCUGAUACAGCCUUCCGAACAUCUCUUUGGGGCGGUUAAGAAUAUAGGAAGAGAUUUUCUAGAAAACAUUGGUGUUGUAGCUCAUCUGCCGCGUGUUGUACAUGUGCUAGAGAAAAAACUGAGUGACAGCGUUUCCCAGGCACUGUUUUGCUCCACAAGCUGUUGCACCGACUUCCUCCAACAGUUUUGUAGAGCAAGGCUACUGCUUCAUAUAAAGCACGUAAAUCGGGUCCUAUUAAAACAGCGGGGAAAAAUCAUCCGCUAAAAUCAAACUGCAAAAGCUGCAAAAUUAAAUUUUCUUAGUGUACAUAUUCUGCUGAAACAUUUUGUGUGCCUACCUGAUAAAGUGAACGAUUUUUCAUUAUGUCAUUGAUGUCUUCAUUUUACAUCCCUUAUCUGGUCAGCAGCCUCAAUCAUAAUGCAGUGUCAUGGGCUUUGGCUGAAAUUGCAGUCGAUUCUUUUUUUUCUUUUUCAUAUUUUUGGUCUGUGGUUCUUCCACCAGUUUCAUAGGUUGCUCAUAUUCUAAGUUGUACUAAUUCAGUUAUCGCAACAUGUCUUACCUGUAGUAAUUAAAAUUAUCAGAAUUUCUUGUUUCUCUUUGCCAUCAGCCAUGGUAAUUAUUGCAGCAGAAGGCACAUGAGUGAUGGUGUUGGAAAUUUUUUUUUUCCACAGUUAAAUGGCCAUGCUGUAUAUAUUUCCAUGCCACUUUGUGUGUCCUCAAAUAAACUGCAAGUGGCAAUUGCACUUGUUCGUUUA